AAUUAAUAAUUACAUACAGUUCAAGAGCAAACACCGGAUUGAACCAGUAUGUCUAUUAGUG
rfam:Human poliovirus 1 strain 3788ALB96 polyprotein gene, partial cds.